AUCCUUUUCCGGUUCAUAAGCAUGAUGAUGAGGUUUUCACACACCUGUGUGAUAUGUGCCUCCUUUUAACCUUGUAACGACGUGACAUGACACUUCUGACA